UAUAAGCCUUUUCAGACCCUGCUCUUUGGGGGCUUGUAGCUCCCAGGUUUUCCCCAGUCUAAGUUCUGAGCUGAGUCUUAUU
ensembl:miRNA Mir6414 microRNA 6414